rnacentral:tRNA from 2 species
GGGCCCGUAGCUCAGCCAGGUAGAGCGCCAGGCUCAUAACCUGGUGGUCGCGGGUUCAAAUCCCGUCGGGCCCACCA